UGGAUAGUAUUAUUAAUGAAAUUUAACGGAUUUGGCGGCAAGAUAGCCACUUAGAGGAACCUGCCCUGUAAACGAUGAGCCACGAUUAACCUUACUUUUACUAGAAUCCAGUUUGUAUACCGCUGUUGUCAGUUAGUUUCUUUAGAAAACUUUCGUAGAUGAUAAAUUCAAUGACUUCAAGUAAAGGUGCAGCUUAUGUAAAAGAUAGAGGUGGGUUACAAUUAAAAGAAUAAUAUGGAUAAAGUAAAGAAAAAACUUUUGAAGGUGGAUUUAAUAGUAAAGUUUAAUAAGACUUGAUUAGAGCUCUAUCUUGUGUACACACCGCCCGUCGCUCGCGGGA
rnacentral:rRNA from 1 species